GUACUUUGCCUUCUACUGUGUUGCCUGGUAGGUCUUGACGAGCGCCAUGUUGUCAUCUUGAGGGUAAUAUUGCACUCGUCCCGGCCUGCUGGUCAGCUCAACUACCUUGG
rnacentral:pre_miRNA from 1 species